UGGGGAAUAUUGCACAAUGGGCGCAAGCCUGAUGCAGCCAUGCCGCGUGUGUGAAGAAGGCCUUCGGGUUGUAAAGCACUUUCAGCGGGGAGGAAGGCGAUAAGGUUAAUAACCUCAUCGAUUGACGUUACCCGCAGAAGAAGCACCGGCUAACUCCGUGCCAGCAGCCGCGGUAAUACGGAGGGUGCAAGCGUUAAUCGGAAUUACUGGGCAUAAAGCGCACGCAGGCGGUCUGUCAAGUCGGAUGUGAAAUCCCCGGGCUCAACCUGGGAACUGCAUUCGAAACUGGCAGGCUAGAGUCUUGUAGAGGGGGGUAGAAUUCCAGGUGUAGCGGUGAAAUGCGUAGAGAUCUGGAGGAAUACCGGUGGCGAAGGCGGCCCCCUGGACGAAGACUGACGCUCAGGUGCGAAAGCGUGGGGAGCAAACAGG
rnacentral:rRNA from 1 species